rnacentral:rRNA from 1 species
CCUACGGGCGGCAGCAGUGAGGAAUAUUGGUCAAUGGCCGAGAGGCUGAACCAGCCAAGUCGCGUGAGGGAAGACGGCCCUACGGGUUGUAAACCUCUUUUGUCGGGGAGCAAAGCGAGUCACGUGUGACUCAUUGAGAGUACCCGAAGAAAAAGCAUCGGCUAACUCCGUGCCAGCAGCCGCGGUAAUAAGGAGGAUGCAAGCGUUGUCCGGAUUUACUGGGUGGAAAGGGCGUGUAGCCGGGCUGACAAGUCAGAUGUGAAAUCCGGGGGCUCAACCCCCGAACUGCAUUUGAAACUGUUGGUCUUGAGUAUCGGAGAGGCAGGCGGAAUUCCUAGUGUAGCGGUGAAAUGCGUAGAUAUUAGGAGGAACACCAGUGGCGAAGGCGGCCUGCUGGACGACAACUGACGGUGAGGCGCGAAAGCGUGGGGAGCAAACAGGAUUAGAUACCCCAGUAGUC